GGCGACUUAGCUCAGUUGGUAGAGCAGAGGCCUGAAGAGCCUUGUGUCGUAGGUUCGAUUCCUACAGUCGCCACCA
rnacentral:tRNA from 1 species